rnacentral:rRNA from 1 species
UACAGAGGGUGCAAGCGUUAAUCGGAAUUACUGGGCGUAAAGCGUGCGUAGACGGUUAUGUAAGUCGGGUGUGAAAGCCCCGGGCUCAACCUGGGAAUUGCAUUCGAGACUGCAUAGCUAGGGUGCGGAAGAGGGAAGCGGAAUUUCCGGUGUAGCGGUGAAAUGCGUAGAGAUGUGGAGGAACACCGAUGGCGAAGGCAGCCCCCUGGGUCAAGAUUGACGCUCAUGCACGAAAGCGUGGGGGAGCAAACAGG